rnacentral:pre_miRNA from 1 species
GGCCGAGAGGACUAAAGAGAGGCUCAAGCAGGUAUUGGUUUUAAAUUCCGAUCCUAAUAACUAUUAUUGCUGUGUGCGUUGAGUAUUAUCUUUCAGUUCUCUUGUGCU